rnacentral:rRNA from 1 species
UGUGUGUUAGUGGAAGCGUCUGGAAAGGCGCGCGAUACAGGGUGACAGCCCCGUACACAAAAAUGCACAUGCUGUGAGCUCGAUGAGUAGGGCGGGACACGUGGUAUCCUGUCUGAAUAUGGGGGGACCAUCCUCCAAGGCUAAAUACUCCUGACUGACCGAUAGUGAACCAGUACCGUGAGGGAAAGGCGAAAAGAACCCCGGCGAGGGGAGUGAAAAAGAACCUGAAACCGUGUACGUACAAGCAGUGGGAGCACAGAGCAAUCUGUGUGACUGCGUACCUUUUGUAUAAUGGGUCAGCGACUUAUAUUCUGUAGCAAGGUUAACCGAAUAGGGGAGCCGAAGGGAAACCGAGUCUUAACUGGGCGUUAAGUUGCAGGGUAUAGACCCGAAACCCGGUGAUCUAGCCAUGGGCAGGUUGAAGGUUGGGUAACACUAACUGGAGGACCGAACCGACUAAUGUUGAAAAAUUAGCGGAUGACUUGUGGCUGGGGGUGAAAGGCCAAUCAAACCGGGAGAUAGCUGGUUCUCCCCGAAAGCUAUUUAGGUAGCGCCUCGUGAAUUCAUCUCCGGGGGUAGAGCACUGUUUCGGCAAGGGGGUCAUCCCGACUUACCAACCCGAUGCAAACUGCGAAUACCGGAGAAUGUUAUCACGGGAGACACACGGCGGGUGCUAACGUCCGUCGUGAAGAGGGAAACAACCCAGACCGCCAGCUAAGGUCCCAAAGUCAUGGUUAAGUGGGAAACGAUGUGGGAAGGCCCAGACAGCCAGGAUGUUGGCUUAGAAGCAGCCAUCAUUUAAAGAAAGCGUAAUAGCUCACUGGUCGAGUCGGCCUGCGCGGAAGAUGUAACGGGGCUAAACCAUGCACCGAAGCUGCGGCAGCGACACUAUGUGUUGUUGGGUAGGGGAGCGUUCUGUAAGCCUGUGAAGGUGUGCUGUGAGGCAUGCUGGAGGUAUCAGAAGUGCGAAUGCUGACAUAAGUAACGAUAAAGCGGGUGAAAAGCCCGCUCGCCGGAAGACCAAGGGUUCCUGUCCAACGUUAAUCGGGGCAGGGUGAGUCGACCCCUAAGGCGAGGCCGAAAGGCGUAGUCGAUGGGAAACAGGUUAAUAUUCCUGUACUUGGUGUUACUGCGAAGGGGGGACGGAGAAGGCUAUGUUGGCCGGGCGACGGUUGUCCCGGUUUAAGCGUGUAGGCUGGUUUUCCAGGCAAAUCCGGAAAAUCAAGGCUGAGGCGUGAUGACGAGGCACUACGGUGCUGAAGCAACAAAUGCCCUGCUUCCAGGAAAAGCCUCUAAGCAUCAGGUAACAUCAAAUCGUACCCCAAACCGACACAGGUGGUCAGGUAGAGAAUACCAAGGCGCUUGAGAGAACUCGGGUGAAGGAACUAGGCAAAAUGGUGCCGUAACUUCGGGAGAAGGCACGCUGAUAUGUAGGUGAAGCGACUUGCUCGUGGAGCUGAAAUCAGUCGAAGAUACCAGCUGGCUGCAACUGUUUAUUAAAAACACAGCACUGUGCAAACACGAAAGUGGACGUAUACGGUGUGACGCCUGCCCGGUGCCGGAAGGUUAAUUGAUGGGGUUAGCGCAAGCGAAGCUCUUGAUCGAAGCCCCGGUAAACGGCGGCCGUAACUAUAACGGUCCUAAGGUAGCGAAAUUCCUUGUCGGGUAAGUUCCGACCUGCACGAAUGGCGUAAUGAUGGCCAGGCUGUCUCCACCCGAGACUCAGUGAAAUUGAACUCGCUGUGAAGAUGCAGUGUACCCGCGGCAAGACGGAAAGACCCCGUGAACCUUUACUAUAGCUUGACACUGAACAUUGAGCCUUGAUG